GUGUGGGCUUAAUACUCACUGUGUGCUGGACACCCCAACCUCAGGUCCCCAUCCUAGCCACUAUAGGGGCAUCUGCCCGAGGUGGGUGGGUGGAACCAAAGGGGACAGAGUGGAACCAGGCAGGCCUGGGUGUAGGUCUUUGGUUCUGGUCUCCAUAGCCUGCUCACAGAUGUGGCUCUGAAUCACCAGCUCCUUUUCUUCUGCAGUCUGGAGAGACGGCCCUCCAUGUGGCAGCUCGCUAUGGCCAUGCUGAUGUGGCUCAGCUACUGUGCAGCUUCGGCUCCAAUCCCGACAUCCAGGACAAGGAAGAAGAAACCCCCCUGCACUGUGCUGCCUGGCACAGGUAUUACUCUGUGGCCAAAGCCCUUUGUGAAGCCGGCUGUAACGUGAACAUCAAGAACCGAGAAGGAGAGACGCCCCUCCUGACAGCCUCUGCCAGGGGCUACCACGACAUCGUGGAGUGUCUGGCCGAACAUGGAGCCGACCUUAAUGCUUGCGACAAGGACGGACACAUUGCCCUUCAUCUGGCUGUGAGACGGUGUCAGAUGGAGGUAAUCAAGACUCUCC
rnacentral:sRNA from 1 species